rnacentral:rRNA from 1 species
GUGCCAGCAGCCGCGGUAAGACGAACCGUGCGAACGUUAUUCGGAAUCACUGGGCUUAAAGCGCGUGUAGGCGGGCCGGCACGUCGGUACCUGAAAGCCCCCGGCUCAACCGGGGAACUGGGGCCGAUACGACCGGCCUGGAGGGGCGUAGGGGGACCUGGAACUUCCGGUGGAGCGGUGAAAUGCGUUGAGAUCGGAAGGAACGCCCGUGGCGAAAGCGAGGUCCUGGACGCCUGCUGACGCUGAGACGCGAAAGCCAGGGUAGCGAACGGGAUUAGAAACCCCCGUAGUCC